UCUCCUGCCUUGCUGUACCAUCAUUAAGAAGAGCCUGGCAGAUUUUCUUCCUUUGUCGUUCCUGUGGCUUCAUGCCCAGGCUUACGGAUAGGGGCAGAGUGAAGAGUAGAAGGUUUAGCCAGCCUGUAAAUGGAUUGUCUAAAUUUAAAAAGGAUGAAGAUCAUAGCGCUCCAGAAACAGUUAAGGGCUGGAGGGAGAGAGCGAGGCAGCCCAGCUCUUUCAAGGAGGGAAGGCCACUCACUUGGGCUGCACCUGCUGCCUACGGAGUGCUCCGCUAUUGAAGAGGCCUGCGGCCCGAUCUGCAUAUCAAAUAGCUGGCGUGUAGAUGAGGCCAUUCAUUCUGCCUUCUGUGUGUUUGUCCUGCUGGGGACGGGCUGUUGUUUAGCAGCAGGCCCUGGUUCCCUCAGGCUCCCUGAGUCAGCAGCCCCCCCUCACCCACACUGAAUUCAAAACCAGGAUUGAUCUUCACAGAGAAGUCUCUGGUGCAGUGCAAAAAGCUACAAGAUACGAACCAUGGCACUCCUGUUCAAGCAAAAUUUGAUGGUUUUCCUAAAGACAUGCCAUCUCUUUGCCUCUGCCCUUUGUUCUCCUCUAUUUCCCUUCAAAUGAUGAAGACCCAUUCUGUCUACCUCCAAGCUUUUUUCAUAUCAACCGUCCUAUUUAUACCCUUGAGUCAAUUGGAAUGGAAGAAAGGGUGGAGGUUAUUUUUUUCCACCUGUUCCAGGAACAUGUGUUCGGAGAAUGAAUUUUUCCCCUCAUUAAAUCACUUUGGCAAUUUUCCAGGAAUUCUUAUUUUAAUAUCAACUAAGGAAGUGCAUGGUUUCUAUCUGAAGGGUGGUACUUACUUUGCUGCAUAUGUAUUGGCAUGAAAUUGCCUACAGAGGGAUCACAGCUUGGGGCAAGCUUUGUGGAGGAUGAAGGGGAACAAGAAUACCCUUGGCAGGGAAUAGAGAGGCAAAGAUUCAAACAGACACAGAAGGAACACCCAUUCAGAGCCUGCCCCACAUGUGGCCCAUACAUAUACAGCCAUCCAAUUAGACAAGAUGGAUGAAGCAAAGAAGUGCAGGCCGACAGGAACCGGAUGUAGAUCGCUCCUGAGAGACACAGCCAGAAUACAGCAAAUACAGAGGCGAAUGCCAGCAGCAAACCACUGAACUGAGAACGGGACCCCCGUUGAAGGAAUCAGAGAAAGAACUGGAAGAGCUUGAAGGAGCUCGAGACCCCUUAUGAACAACAAUGCCAACCAACCAGAGCUUCCAGGGACUAAGCCACUACCUAAGGACUAUACAUGAACUGACCCUGGACUCUGACCUCAUAGGUAGCAAUGAAUAUUCUAGUAAGAUCACCAGUGGAAGGGGAAGCCCUUGGUCGUGCUAAGACUGAACCCCCAGUGAACAUGAUUGUUGGGGGGAG